rnacentral:lncRNA from 1 species
UCAUCUGCGGCGGCGAGACCUGCAUCUCCACCACCUUCUGCCACGCCGGGCGGCUCGAUAUCUUCUGCCACCACUGGUUCACCUUCGGCCGGGACUCGAAGAAGGACCGGCGCCCCGCGUUGUUGACGAGGCGGUGGCCGUUGGGGAGGUGGGAGAGGUCGGCGAGCGAGAACUUGUCGCCCGCCAGGUACUCCGACUCCUGGAGGCGCCUCUCGUAGAUGUUGAGCACGGUUUUCAGCUUCUUCUCGCUCUCCGCGACCUCCUUCUCGUCCGGAUCCUCGCCCAGCAUCGGCCUGAAGGCCAGGUUGAAGAUGAGAGCCGAGCUCGGGGGGUCGAAGCUGCACUCCUCCGUCUGCAGCCACUGCUCGAUCGACGCCCGCUCCAGCGUGCCCGCCGGCAGUAGGUCCUUGUUGCCGCGGUCCACGUACUUCUCCGCGAUGUGCCUGCAUAUCUCUCGCGAUUCUGCACGCAAAGUAAUCAGACUGAGAAAUGCUAAAUCUACAAUUAAAAAGAAUUAAGAAGAGUUGUAAUUACCGUUUACCAAUCUUUUUUUUAUUUUUAAUAAAAAAUAAUAACAAUAAUAGGACAAGUAAAUAAGAAAAAAAAAAGAAAAGAAAAAAACACUUUUACUCCCCAACAAGAAACUCUAGAAAAAAUUGUGCAUAAUUUGAGGUUGUUGCAAGCGAGUUUUAUAUAUAUUAUAUACUAGAUUGUAGUAGUGUUGUCGAUUUGGUUUGGUUCGAUUUGCAGUUUUAUAAUUAAAAUUUUUAAUCUUUGCAUUGAAUCUCUACCUUACUUUUCUAUAAGAUUCUACUAAUGAGAUGGAAUGAAAUGUUUAUAUAAACCUAAUCCAAGCAUUAUCGAUAAAAGGGGUGUACAAACAUAUUUUUUUCUCUUACUUCUAAAAUCUUUCCAAUACACUACAACAAAAACGGUCUAUAGCGACACUUUUAAGUGUAGGUACAUGUCAAAAAAGUGCUGCUAGCUAAAAUUGCCGACACUUUUAAAAAGUGUUGCUAUAUAUGGGGUCGCUAGAUAUAUAGUGACAGUUAAAGAGUGUCGCUAUAACUUAAAAGAGUGCUGCUAAUUUACCAACAACUUAUUUAAGCAUUUAGCAACCGCCGAAACUUUAUCUCGUUGGCUGCGGUGGCGGAGGAGGACGACAGGAAUGACUCUUCGUCUAGAAUCUCAGUAGAUUGAGUGAAGAGAGAAGAAAAUAUGGUAAUUGAUUUUUCUUUUUUUUUUUUUUUCUUUUCUGUUUGUAAUCGGGUCAAAUUGACUGGGUGUGGUGGGUUGAGUAGAGUAAUCUUUUAUUUUUGAUUGGAUUGGGCUUUAUAUUUAGGCAUUAGUAAAUAUUUUUUUAAGUUUUAGUAUAAAUGGGACACUUACUCAAAAGUGUCCUAAACAUGUAUCCUUAUAAUCUAAUUCUGUUGUAGUGAUAGUAAUUUUAUAAUAUAUUAUUAUUAUUAUUAUUAUUAAAGAAUUUAAAAUAUUUUUAAUCUUAUAAAAGUAAAAGUUAUUAAGUAAAUUAAUUCAAUAUUUAAAUUAUUAUGUGUAAAUUAAAAAUCUCAUAUAUGUGUCAUUUUCAAAAUUAUUCUAUCUUUAAAUAGUUUAAAUUAUAUGUAAAGACUAGAAAAAUGAAAAAAAUAGUGUUGGGUAGGGAGAGCCGACAAGCUACCAAGCCAAUUUACACUCCUAUUUAGAUGUAGCUAUCAAAUUUUCAAAAUACUUUAUCUAAAAAAAAAAAUCAAAAUAAUUUUCUGAAUGCCCUUUCGAGUUAACAAAUUAUUUCUAAAACUUUAUUUCCAGAUAAGCUAAAAAUAAAUAAACUCAUUAUCAGAUAAGCAAUUUUUAUAAAUUUAAUAAUAAUUUAUAAAGAAAAAUAAUUAUAUAAAAGUGAUGGAUCACACACUUAAUAAGGAGUUAAAAACAAUUAGACUAUAAGCUAUAAAAUAAAAAUCUAUACUCAAAAUAAAAUAAAUUUAAAAAUAAUACGUAUUGAUAUUUUGUCCUAUAAGAAAUAGUUAAGAAUAAAAUCAUCAUUUCAUUAUGUUAAUUAGUGUUUAACUCUUGUCUAAUGCAAAUAAUAGUAUACUUGUACUAAAUAUUUAUAUAUUUAGAUUGGUAUAUGUGAUAUUUUAGAUUUUGAUUGAGUAUUUAUAAAAUCUUAUAAUUUUAGAAGAGUGUAUGGUGUCGUUAUUUAUCGUCUUAGGCUUUUAUUAUAAAAUAAAGCUUGAUUACACGAAAAUAAAAUACAUAUAUCCAAAUUGUACAUUGCUCUUACCAACAAGGGUCUUCCUCCCAUCUUCGAAGGUGAGUGCUUGGCCUUGAGGCUGAUAAAAAUAAAUAAAUAAAAAUAAUUAGAAACCAUAAAUUUUCAAUCCAUCACAUUAAUUACAAUUAUUACAGCUUUAAAUAAUAUGAAAAAAUAAUUAUUCUCUAAAAGCUAAUUAAAGUAAAUAGAGAAUAAUAUUGUUUUAUAUUUUUUAUAUUUAAUACUUCUCCUUAUAGGUGAGCUGUAUACUUUUUAGAUGAUAUUCUUAUAUUUAAUAUUUCAUUUCAUACCUCGACUUGAGAAUUUUUGCUAGACUUAUAAUAUGAACUUGAAUUAAAUGACAAAAUCAAUUAUUCUCGUGUGACUCAAGCUCAUAAUUUACUAUUCCGAUACUAUGUUAAAUAAUGCAUUAUAUAGAGAUUUUUUUUUUUAAGAGAAAGCUAGAACUAUGAAGUAAUUAAGUUUCGAACUUAAGAUCUCGGAAACUAAUUACUGAAUUCUUUACCACUUGCGUUACGAAUGAUCGGUUUUGUCGUAUAUGUAGAGAAUUUGAUUUGAUUGUUAUACCUGUAGCUUGAGGUAAUCAGGAAUACGCUUUGUACCCUUGUAAGUGUCGAUGCGAAUGAGCUGGAACUCGACAUCCUUCUCAAACAGGCACAUCAACACCCUCGCCACUUCCGCGGAAGUGGGAGACCCGAAAACCUUAAUAUUGCUCGCCAUUGGGAUUUUCUUAAUUACUAAGAAGAUCACUUAAGGGAAGUUGAUGGGUUUUCAAGUGCAUGGAAGUCGAAGGAGGAAGUGGAGAGUUUAUAUACUUGUUCGGGGGAGACAACAAAGUGCCUUGCUUCUCGGGUGGUAUAAUUAAAAGAGAACAAAGAGGAGCUAAAGAAAAAGAUAAAGGGAAAGGAGAAGGGGUUACCUUAUAUAUUCCGAGAUUGAGAAUUAAUGUUUGUGGGACAAAAAAUAUUGGGAAAAUGUGUGAAGAGCACCUCAACAACUGGUGAUUCUGAACUACCCCCUGCAAUUUAAAUUUUUUUUUUAAUUGAUAUAUUUUUAAAAAUUUUGAACUCCUAAAAAUUUUGCUGAGUUUUUAAUAUGUCUAUUAGUUAUAAGUAGCUAAUUGGUUUUAGGUUUUUUUGGCUGAAAUAUAAUUAAAACUAUUGAAUUUAAUAAGAUUUAAUAUAUUUUUUUAUUAAUUCGACUAAAAUUAUUUAAAAUUUUAAAAUAAAAGUAAAGAAAAAUGUCAGUAAAAUAAAAUAAAAUUGAGGAAGGCAUCUCUUUGUGGAAAAAAAGUCUGGGAUGUGACGAUACUGCUAUAUAUAUCAUCGUGUCCCAACCAAUCAAAUUGUAUCUCGAAGAUUUCACACAUUUCAUCAUAAUUUUUUGUAAAAAAUUUAUGAUAUUUUUAGAAAAAAUGAGACCGUUUAUUAUCUACUUGUGGAAUACGUGGUCAACAGAUUUAUGAUGUUCAACAUACUAGAAAGCGGACACAUUCUAGAAUUUGUGGGGGUGGUAAAGAGUGUCUGAAAACUUCUGUAAGAGAACCGCUCCUUAGGAAAAUCAGCAAAAGAUUUGACAAGGAUCACAUUCCGUUAGUGAAUAAUUUGGAGGGAAAAAAAAAUAACAUGAUCUUCAGGAAUCAAUUUUCAGACCCCCUAAUGUCCUUUAGAAGAAUUCAUGAAGUGGAAAGAAAGAACACUGAAUUCUGUUUUUUUUUUCUUAAAAAAUUAUUAUAAUUUUCUCUCAAUAAAAUAGAGGGGAAAAAAAAAGAAAAAAAAAAAAGAAAAGAAAGAAAGAAUAGAACAUCAGAUGGUGCGUGCGAGGACAGUAAGCAUGUGCUUCGCUUCUUUAGAUCGGAGCUUCUCUAUUAAGAUUGUAGGGUAGGAGAGGAAAGGAAUAGAUGUUAUUUUUGACUUGAUUAUUUUAAUAAUUUUAAUGCUGAUAUAUUUAUCUUAAAAUGUUUUUUUUUUAACUUUGAAAAAAAAAUAAGGAUAUAUUUCAUUUGUAAUAUUAAAAAAAAAAAAAGAAGAAGAAAAGAGAGUAUCAGAAGAGAUCAAUAACUUACAAAAGAGAGCUCUAUAAAUCAAGUAUUCAAACACGAGAAAAGGUUACUCGUACUCUUAAUAGUCCAAAGUGACACAACGAAUAUGGCGCAUGCAACAAGCGUUAAAAGUUGGCAUUUAGUUCAUUUGACAAAUCUCGGCCAAGCCAAUAAUAAAAAUGCCAGAUAUUUUGCCAAUAUGAAGCAGCUCCAACAAACAAAUCUCAACAUUCAGUGGCCUUAUUUUCAUUUUGAGAAGUUUUGAUAAUUUUCGCAGGCAAUUUGGAACUGCCCAUUUUUCAGAAAUUGUAGUUAUUUGUUUAAAAAGAGCAACGCUGUAUGUACACCGACUUUUCAAUGUAUAUUGAAACAGCAAUUUGUUUUCCAACCAUUGUCACAUUCAAGCCAAACAAAUCAUAUCCUCCCAAUUAUUUGUUUUUCGUCCAAGAGAAAGUUUAAAUCUUUCUCGGCAAAACCUUCUCUGCAUUGACUGAGCAAAACGAGAAAACUAAAAAUGAUGCCACUGUUUGUGUUCUAUAUUCAUUGCAUUAAGCCAUUACACACAAUCAUGAAGCAAACCUUUGAGGAAUCAGCAUAAACCAAUAGUGCAGAGAUCUAAAUGUUUUUUAGCUAGCAAACAGCUGAUCCACUUACUCUAUUUGUGUGCUUUAUGUAGCUGUAUCACUUUCAGCAACUAAUCUCCUAACAGCAUUAUUUCUGACAAAUAUGCGGUAUAUAAUUCUGAUACACUUUACUAUCUAUAUCUUAGAAUUUCAGUUUGGCAUUUAAAACAAGAGUUUUCAUCAUUUUUCUUUUCCAUUUUUCUGCUAAGAGAAUAUUGAGAUGGUUCAGGUUUCCAACAGCUGCUGCUUGGUUUCUUGUAACAGGCAUAUUCCUAUCCAGUAGUAUAAGAUUGUGAAAUGUCCCAUUAAUUGGUUAUAGAGUGAGCUUAACCCCAGCAGCAAUGAGAAGAGACUCUGCAACUGUUGUGUGCAUGCAGAAUUUUCUAAAUAAGUUGUUUUCCAAGUCGAGAACAGCCUCGAAAUGCACCAUCAUACCACUGCCACAUACAAGGUGACAAACUUGGCACUUAUAGAUUACUUUGGAGAAUGGAUGGAAAUUCUAACACCAGUAAGUUAAAUUUCAGGAAACAAGUUGCAGCAAAGAAAUUGCGAAUGACACAGAUCCUUCUCAUCAGUUGGCACACACAAACUCCAUACUUCGUCCCGACACAGAUUAAAGAAGAACUUAAAUGACAUAAAACAUCUAGCACAAACAAAUCACAAGACGGUGCAACAACGCCAGCACAACAAACUCCUACUUGGUUGGCUUCUUAAGUGGAACAGGAAUCUCACUUUGCAUUUCGACCACCUGCUUCCACGAGGGCCGAGCCGAGAUUGCUCUCCACCACCUCUCCACAUUUUUUCUCGAAGUGAAGAGCUUCUUUCCUUUCUCCGACGUGGUGUAAAGGUAAUGCGAGUUAGGAAGGUGGGAAAGAUCAGCAAGUGUAAAUUCACGGCCUGCCAGGUAUUCAUUCUCGCCAAGCCGAUCAUCAUAUACAUCAAGGAGUGAGGAGAGCUUCUUCUCCUUUUGAGCUAUCUCAUCUUGGUCGGGCAACAUUCCCAACGGUUCAGCAAAAGCUAGAUGAAAGACAAGCGAAGAACUAAGAGGCUCAAAGUUUAUGGCUUCUGCUUGUAGCCACUGCUCAAUCGAUGACUUCUCCAGAAUGCCUUUUCCAUAGAGAGCCUUGUUUCCCUGAUCUGCAUAUUUUACGCAGAUAUGCCGACAUAUCUCCUUUGAAUCUAUCACAAAAGAAGAAAAAAAAAUUGCCUUCAUAAAUUGGAAUGAUACUUCCAAAUAAACAACGGUCUUUCACAUAUAUUCUCGAACAACCAUUCGUUCACCUAUGUAUGCUGCUGUCAAAUCAAACUUUUUAAUGUAUACUCUCAAGUGUGGCUUCUCAGUUCUCACACACAACCACCCACCCACACAACCACACACUUAACGUAAGUCGGGAAACCAGCCAAAGUAUGCAGAGAAGUUGGUUUUAAAUCAGAGAAAUUUUCUUAGAAAGGGGAAUUUUGUAUGUACAAGGGUGUUUAUGUAAAAAAUACAAUUUUGAAUGGCAUUAAAUCAAUAAUUUAAGUGCCGUGACACGAAGUCAUGCCAAAAAUUUGCCGGCACAGUGCAUGCCGGGCAGGGCUGAUGCGUGCCGGUGACAAAAAAUACAUGUGUGCCGACACAUAAUUGCAUGAAAUAUUUAUAUUUUUAGCAACAAAAUAUUCUAACUGUUUAUUAUGUAUCUUUAUCAAAUCUUUUAAAUUUUAUUAAGAAAAUUACUUACUAAUUUAAAGAAUAGAAGGUUUUGAACAGUACCAUUGGCACGAAAACUGUAUCGUGCCGAUAUCUUGUUGUGGUGUAUACAGUACAUGCCGAUAGGUACUUAAAUUCUUGUAUUAAAUUAUGAUUAUACAGAGAUUUAUUAUAUAAAAUCAUACGGUUAAAUAUUAAAUACAUCAAUAAACAGUAAAGGGUUACUGUUAUUAUUCCUUACCCACAAGGGUGAGCAGCCCAUCCUUGAACGUUACCUGACCACUAGGAUCCUGCAAGAUUUGUAAGAAACACAUGAUUUCCCACUAAUGAAGGGGUAAAAUAAUAAUUGAGCUAGUCAAACGAAAUAAGAGAAAUACCACUACUAGUAAUAACUUGCCUGCAAUUUGAGGAACUCAGGGACCUUAUGAUUUCCAUCGAAUGUGUCAAUGCGAACAAGUUGGAACUCCACGUUCUUUUCGAAGAGGCACGUAAGCACCCUUGCGACAUCUGUGGAUGCCGGUUGCCCAAACACCGUCAAGCCCACCAUUCUUACUUCCCUUGAGUUCUCUUACAGUUAGCUCGAUGAAGGUAGCAUUCACACUCCCAAGGGGAAUUUAAGUUCAGGUAAGGCUGGAAUUCUGCGCUUUAUUUGUUGGAAGAAAGGAAAAGCGAAAAGCAAAAGCGAAAAGUGAAAAGGGAAAGACUGUAACACUUCUUUUAGCAAAGUAUGUUGAUAGCCACAGCCUUACCAUGUCUCACAAGUGGAUUUAACCAGAGGCUUACGCACAAUACUUCUCUAUAAUGCAACUUACGAUGAUUAUCAAGCCUAGGUUAUCUGCACAGACAUUACAUGUGCUUAAAAAGGAACGAGAUACAGUGUAAUAAUCGAGAUACUGCUUUCGCUUUGUUCUUUACUCCUGUAAAAACCACAAGCAAUCUCUUUACUCGAUAGCAAGAUAUUAUUGAGUACAUAUCAGAUCACAAAGUUUGAAACGAAGAUGAAUCACAGGAACCACAUAGCAUUCUUUUUAAAGCUCACCAACAACAACAAUGAAAAGUUUUCAGGUUCCGAGACUUGUUCCUUGAAGCUGCAUAAGAAACAACAAGCAAAUAGGAAAACACCCACAGAAACCGAAUAUCAAGCAGGCAGCGCGCGCUGCAUCUCGACGACCUUCUUCCAAGAAGGCCUCGCCGAUACCUCCUCCCACCACCUCCCGACGUUCUUCCUCGACGUUAAGAGCUGCCCCUUCUCCGUCUUGUUAACUAGGAUGUGGGAAUUGGGGAGGUGGGAGAGGUCGGCGAGGGAGAAUUCGUCUCCGGCCAAAUACCGGCUCUCGCCGAGCCGCUUAUCGUACACAUCGAGAACCUUCGCGAGCUUUGCUUCGUUCUGCUCGACGGCAGCCGGGUCCUGCUUAAGCCCCAUGAGCGG